GAUGAACGCUGGCGGCGUGCCUAAUACAUGCAAGUCGAGCGAACAGAUGAGGAGCUUGCUCCUCUGACGUUAGCGGCGGACGGGUGAGUAACACGUGGAUAACCUACCUAUAAGACUGGGAUAACUUCGGGAAACCGGAGAUAAUACCGGAUAAUAUAUUGAACCGCAUGGUUCAAUAGUGAAAGACGGUUUUGCUGUCACUUAUAGAUGGAUCCGCGCCGCAUUAGCUAGUUGGUAAGGUAACGGCUUACCAAGGCAACGAUGCGUAGCCGACCUGAGAGGGUGAUCAGCCACACUGGAACUGAGACACGGUCCAGACUCCUACGGGAGGCAGCAGUAGGGAAUCUUCCGCAAUGGGCGAAAGCCUGACGGAGCAACGCCGCGUGAGUGAUGAAGGUCUUCGGAUCGUAAAGCUCUGUUAUUAGGGAAGAACAAAUGUGUAAGUAACUAUGCACGUCUUGACGGUACCUAAUCAGAAAGCAACGGCUAACUACGUG
rnacentral:rRNA from 1 species